UAGCCUCCUAGAAUAUCAGAGAAAGUUACAUUUGGAACACAGAGUUACAAACAUGGUACCUUCCCUCCUACCCCACCUCAAAGCAACCAUUGUUAAGAGUUUUCUGGUUAUCUAAGACUUUUUAAAAAUACAUAUACAAACAUAAAAUUACACACAUUCUCUUACCAGGUAACUUUUGUUGCACAUCAUGUAUUUUGGCCAUCCUUCUAUGUUUGUAUUUAAAGCUCUUAUUCUUUUCUUGACAACUCCAUAAAUAUUCCAUAGUAUGUGUUUUUGUUUUUGUUUUUGCUUUUGUUUUUG
rnacentral:lncRNA from 10 species